rnacentral:rRNA from 1 species
AUUGAACGCUGGCGGCAUGCUUUACACAUGCAAGUCGAACGGUAACAGGCCUUCGGGUGCUGACGAGUGGCGCACGGGUGAGUAAUGCAUCGGAACGUACCCAGAGGUGGGGGAUAACGCAGCGAAAGCUGUGCUAAUACCGCAUGUGAUCUGAGGAUGAAAGCGGGGGACCGAGCAGCAAUGUUUGGCCUCGCGCCUUUGGAGCGGCCGAUGUCGGAUUAGCUAGUUGGUGGGGUAAAGGCCUACCAAGGCGACGAUCCGUAGCUGGUCUGAGAGGACGACCAGCCACACUGGGACUGAGACACGGCCCAGACUCCUACGGGAGGCAGCAGUGGGGAAUUUUGGACAAUGGGCGCAAGCCUGAUCCAGCAAUGCCGCGUGCGGGAAGAAGGCCUUCGGGUUGUAAACCGCUUUUGGCAGGAACGAAACGGUGUCCGCUAAUACCGGGCGCUAAUGACGGUACCUGCAGAAUAAGCACCGGCUAACUACGUA